CCUACGGGAGGCAGCAGUGGGGGAUAUUGCACAAUGGGGGGAACCCUGAUGGAGCGACGCCGCGUGGGUGAAGAAGGGCCUCGGCGCGUAAAGCGCUGUCAGAAGGGAAGAAAAUGACGGUACCUGAAGAAGAAGCCCCGGCUAACUACGUGCCAGAAGCCGCGGGAAUACGUAGGGGGCAAGCGGUAUCCGGAUGUACUGGGUGAAAAGGGGGCGCAGACGGCGAUGCAAGCCAGGGGUGAAAGCCCGGGGCCCAACCCCGGGACUGCUUUUGGAACUGCGUGGCUGGAGUGCAGGAGAGGCAGGCGGAAUUCCUGGUGUAGCGGUGAAAUGCGUAGAUAUCAGGAGGAACACCGGUGGCGAAGGCGGCCUGCUGGACUGCAACUGACGUUGAGGCCCGAAAGCGUGGGGAGCAAACAGGAUUAGAUACCCGUGUAGUC
rnacentral:rRNA from 1 species